GCCAUGCCGCGUGUAUGAAGAAGGCCUUCGGGUUGUAAAGUACUUUCAGCGGGGAGGAAGGCGAUGCGGUUAAUAACCGCGUCGAUUGACGUUACCCGCAGAAGAAGCACCGGCUAACUCCGUGCCAGCAGCCGCGGUAAUACGGAGGGUGCAAGCGUUAAUCGGAAUUACUGGGCGUAAAGCGCACGCAGGCGGUCUGUCAAGUCGGAUGUGAAAUCCCCGGGCUCAACCUGGGAACUGCAUCCGAAACUGGCAGGCUUGAGUCUCGUAGAGGGGGGUAGAAUUCCAGGUGUAGCGGUGAAAUGCGUAGAGAUCUGGAGGAAUACCGGUGGCGAAGGCGGCCCCCUGGACGAAGACUGACGCUCAGGUGCGAAAGCGUGGGGAGCAAACAGGA
rnacentral:rRNA from 1 species